rnacentral:rRNA from 1 species
UGGGGAAUAUUGGACAAUGGGCGCAAGCCUGAUCCAGCCAUGCCGCGUGAGUGACGAAGGUCUUCGGAUUGUAAAGCUCUUUUGCCAGGGACGAUAAUGACGGUACCUGGAGAAUAAGCCCCGGCUAACUUCGUGCCAGCAGCCGCGGUAAUACGAAGGGGGCUAGCGUUGUUCGGAAUUACUGGGCGUAAAGCGCACGUAGGCGGAUUUGUUAGUCAGGGGUGAAAUCCCGGGGCUCAACCUCGGAACUGCCUUUGAUACUGCAAGUCUCGAGUCCGAUAGAGGUGAGUGGAAUUCCUAGUGUAGAGGUGAAAUUCGUAGAUAUUAGGAAGAACACCAGUGGCGAAGGCGGCUCACUGGAUCGGUACUGACGCUGAGGUGCGAAAGCGUGGGGAGCAAACAGGAUUAGAUACCCGGGUAGUCCCUGAGCGGGCUGGCAAGGCGCAU